rnacentral:misc_RNA from 1 species
GAAAUGCGAUAAGUAAUGUGAAUUGCAGAAUUCAGUGAAUCAUCGAAUCUUUGAACGCACCUUGCGCUCCUUGGUAUUCCUUGGAGCAUGCCUGUUUGAGUAUCAUGAAAUCUUCAAAGUAAAUCUUUUGUUAACUCAAUUGGUUUCUACUUUGGUAUUGGAGGUCUUUGCAGCUUCACACCUGCUCCUCUUUGUUCAUUAGCUGGAUCUCAGUGUUAUGCUUGGUUCCACUCGGCGUGAUAAGUUAUCUAUCGCUGAGGACACUGUAAAAGGUGGCCAAGGUAAAUGCAGAUGAACCGCUUCUAAUAGUCCAUUGACUUGGACAAUACUUUUAUGAUCUGAUCUCAAAUCAGGUAGGACUACCCGCUGAACU